UACGUAGGGUGCGAGCGUUGUCCGGAAUUAUUGGGCGUAAAGAGCUCGUAGGCGGUGUGUCGCGUCGGUCGUGAAAACUUGGGGCUUAACUCUGAGCUUGCGGUCGAUACGGGCAUCACUUGAGUUCGGCAGGGGAGACUGGAAUUCCUGGUGUAGCGGUGAAAUGCGCAGAUAUCAGGAGGAACACCGGUGGCGAAGGCGGGUCUCUGGGCCGAUACUGACGCUAAGGAGCGAAAGCGUGGGGAGCGAACAGG
rnacentral:rRNA from 1 species